AUUGAACGCUGGCGGCAGGCUUAACACAUGCAAGUCGAGCGAGCGGCGGACGGGUGAGUAAUGUCUGGGAAACUGCCUGAUGGCGGGGGAUACCUACUGGAACCGGUCGCUAAUACCGCAUACCAUCAGCUGUCCCCCGGUGGUAUUAGCUUGUAGGUGGGUUAAUGGCUCACCUAGGCGCCGAUCCCUCGCGGGUCUGAGAGGAUGACCAGCCACAGUGGAACUGAGACACGGGCCAGACUCCUACGGGAGGCAGCAGUGGGGAAUAUUGAACAAGGGGCGCAAGCCUGAGGCAGCCAGGCCGCGUGUGGGAAGAAGGCCGUCGGGUUGUAAAGCACUUUCAGCGAGGAGGCGUGACGCGCAGAAGAAGCACCGGCUAACUCCGUGCCAGCAGCCGCGGUAAUAC
rnacentral:rRNA from 1 species